rnacentral:tRNA from 1 species
GUUAAUAUAGUUUAACAAAAACAUUAGGUUGUGGUCCUAAAAAUAGAAGUUUAACUCUUCUUGUUCA